rnacentral:rRNA from 1 species
CCUACGGGUGGCAGCAGUAGGGAAUCUUUCACAAUGGGCGAAAGCCUGAUGGAGCAACGCCGCGUGCAGGAUGAAGGCCUUCGGGUUGUAAACUGCUUUUAUAAGCGAGAAAUAUGAUGGUAACUUAUGAAUAAGGAUCGGCUAACUACGUGCCAGCAGCCGCGGUCAUACGUAGGAUCCGAGCAUUAUCCGGAGUGACUGGGUGUAAAGAGUUGCGUAGGUGGCAUAAUAAGUAGCUAGUGAAAUCUGGUGGCUCAACCAUUCAGACUAUUAGCUAAACUGUUAAGCUCGAGACCGUUAGGGGUAACUGGAAUUUCUGGUGUAGGAGUGAAAUCCGUAGAUAUUAGAAGGAACACCAAUAGCGUAGGCAGGUUGCUGGGACGGUUCUGACACUAAGGCAUGAAAGCGUAGGGAGCAAACGGGAUUAGAUACCCGUGUAGUC